GACGAACGCUGGCGGCAUGCUUAACACAUGCAAGUCGAACGGAAAGGCCCUGCUUUUGUGGGGUGCUCGAGUGGCGAACGGGUGAGUAACACGUGAGUAACCUGCCCUUGACUUUGGGAUAACUUCAGGAAACUGGGGCUAAUACCGGAUAGGAGCUCCUGCUGCAUGGUGGGGGUUGGAAAGUUUCGGCGGUUGGGGAUGGACUCGCGGCUUAUCAGCUUGUUGGUGGGGUAGUGGCUUACCAAGGCUUUGACGGGUAGCCGGCCUGAGAGGGUGACCGGCCACAUUGGGACUGAGAUACGGCCCAGACUCCUACGGGAGGCAGCAGUGGGGAAUAUUGCACAAUGGGCGGAAGCCUGAUGCAGCAACGCCGCGUGCGGGAUGACGGCCUUCGGGUUAUAAACCGCUUUCGCCUGUGACGAAGCGUGAGUGACGGUAAUGGGUAAAGAAGCACCGGCUAACUACGUG
rnacentral:rRNA from 1 species